rnacentral:tRNA from 1 species
GCCACUGUAGCUUAACGGAAGAGCAACCGUUUUGUAAUCGGUAGAUGCUGGUUCAAUUCCAGCCGGUGGCUCCA